rnacentral:rRNA from 1 species
CCUACGGGGUGCAGCAGUGGGGAAUAUUGGGCAAUGGGCGCAAGCCUGACCCAGCAACGCCGCGUGAAGGAAGAAGGCUUUCGGGUUGUACACUUCUUUUGUCAGGGAAGAGUAGAAGACGGUACCUGACGAAUAAGCCACGGCUAACUACGUGCCAGCAGCCGCGGUAAUACGUAGGUGGCAAGCGUUGUCCGGAUUUACUGGGUGUAAAGGGCGUGUAGCCGGGUUGACAAGUCAGAUGUGAAAUCCUGCGGCUUAACCGCAGAACUGCAUUUGAAACUGUUGAUCUUGAGUACUGGAGAGGCAGACGGAAUUCCUAGUGUAGCGGUGAAAUGCGUAGAUAUUAGGAGGAACACCAGUGGCGAAGGCGGUCUGCUGGACAGCAACUGACGGUGAGGCGCGAAAGCGUGGGGAGCAAACAGGAUUAGAUACCCCAGUAGUC